rnacentral:rRNA from 1 species
CGGAGGGGCGUAGCGUUGUUCGGAAUUACUGGGCGUAAAGACGCACGUAGGCGGACCGGAAAGUACAGAGGUGAAAUACCCAGGGCUCAACCUUGGAACUGCCUUUGAAACUCCUGGUCUUGAGGUCGAGAGAGGUGAGUGGAAUUCCGAGUGUAGAGGUGAAAUUACGUAGAUAUUCGGAGGAACACCAGUGGCGAAGGCGGCUCACCGGCUCGAUACUGACGCUGAGGUGCGAAAGCGUGGGGAGCAAACAGGAUU